UAUUCUCAAAUACGGUAGAAAUCAUAAAGCCAGCCACUUAACAUUCUUCCCGAGACAUGGCCGUUCACGAAGCCAAUCAUCCUCCUUGCUCAUGCUGCGGUUGCCAUGGGAACUAAGGUGGAAACUCCGCCUCCUCCUUGGCUAAACGUUGUUCCUAUUCCCUCCCACCGAGACCACCGAAAAAACCCAACAAUAGCCCCACCUCUCCUCUUCCCACCACUUCCUCCGCAACAGCGGCUCUACCACCGAGAAACCCCAAGAAAGCCAACUCCAGCCCCACCACUCUGUUUGGCUUCUCGAAGAUUCCUGUCCCCACACCCUCAUCGCCCUCUGUCCCAGAUCCUUCUUUGCCACCUACUUUUUCCAGUUCUUGCGAUGGGUUGCAAGAGUUCCAUGUUCAGGGGGAUGAUGGCUUUGAAACCGUUAUAGUGGACAAGGAUGGCGAUGAUUUGUUCAUUCAUCUGAAGUGCCAUAUAACUUUGCAAUUUCCGAGAGGUGGGGCUGGCGUUGGGUUUCUUGGGGGUUCUCGGUGGUAGAGCCGCUGUUGCGGAGGAAGCGGCGGGAAGAGGAGAGGUGGGGCUGUUGUUGGGUUUUUUCGGUGGUCUCGGCGGGAGGGAAUAGGAACAACGUUUAGCCGAGGCGGAGUUUCCAGCGGAGCUCCCAUGGCAACCGCAGCAUGAGCAAGGAGGAUGGUUGGCUUCGUCCAAGGCCAUGUCUCUGGAAGAAUGUAAAGUGGCUGGCCUUAUGAUUUCUACCGUAUUUGAUAAUAUAUAAAUUAAUAUAUUUUUUUUUAUUGGAUUUUAAAGGUUUAGUUUGGUCGAUGGGCCCGGCCCAAUCAAAUUGGGAAGAACCCAACCAUUUGUAUUCCAGUUGGGUUGGGUUACAUUAUACAUAAAUUUAUCGGAUAAAAUGGGAAAAUCCAAUACAUUAUUUUAA